rnacentral:rRNA from 1 species
UACGAAGGGGGCUAGCGUUGCUCGGAAUCACUGGGCGUAAAGGGCGCGUAGGCGGCUUAUCAAGUCGGGGGUGAAAGCCCGUGGCUCAACCACGGAAUGGCCUUCGAUACUGGUAGGCUUGAGACCGGAAGAGGACAGCGGAACUGCGAGUGUAGAGGUGAAAUUCGUAGAUAUUCGCAAGAACACCAGUGGCGAAGGCGGCUGUCUGGUCCGGUUCUGACGCUGAGGCGCGAAGGCGUGGGGAGCGAACGGG